AUUGAACGCUGGCGGCAUGCCUUACACAUGCAAGUCGAACGGCAGCACGGGAGCAAUCCUGGUGGCGAGUGGCGAACGGGUGAGUAAUAUAUCGGAACGUGCCCAGUCGUGGGGGAUAACGCAGCGAAAGCUGUGCUAAUACCGCAUACGAUCUAAGGAUGAAAGCGGGGGAUCGCAAGACCUCGCGCGAUUGGAGCGGCCGAUAUCAGAUUAGCUAGUUGGUGGGGUAAAGGCCCACCAAGGCGACGAUCUGUAGCUGGUCUGAGAGGACGACCAGCCACACUGGAACUGAGACACGGUCCAGACUCCUACGGGAGGCAGCAGUGGGGAAUUUUGGACAAUGGGCGCAAGCCUGAUCCAGCAAUGCCGCGUGCAGGAUGAAGGCCUUCGGGUUGUAAACUGCUUUUGUACGGAACGAAACGGCCCUUUCUAAUACGGGGGGCUAAUGACGGUACCGUAAGAAUAAGCACCGGCUAACUACGUGCCAGCCGCCGCAGUAAUAC
rnacentral:rRNA from 1 species